CAACCUACAGCCGGGUCGACGGACUUUUUUCCUUUUUCUGCCUUUUACACCUGGACACACCUGUGGGGACUUUUAGUGUAUUUUCGCCUUUAACUCAGGUUGUUUUUGUUUGGAGUGUUAAGUAGAUGCACGAAGUAGCCUAAGUAUUGUUUCUAUAUUGUGUUAAUUACGACACACCUCGUUAACUCUGGUGUUUUUUCCGCCGAUAGAAGUCCUUCAUGGGUGAUCACAACAACCCGUCCCUGCCCAUAGUAGGCUCCUGCCAAGAAUGCUCGUCCAUCCUCUGUGGUACCAAUGGGGAAGGCUAGUGGGCCGUGGAUCAGAGCCUCAGAAGCUACUACCCCAUUCUCGAGGUCAAACUCUGUGAUCCCCUGGAGUAGGAACUCCAAGUCAUCCUCAAAGUCCUUACCGAUUCUGAAUUGGUGCCAAGAGAGAUAAAGUUUAUUGUGGAAUUAUUCAGAUUGUGUUUUUAAAAAAGGGAAACAGAAGAGAGAAAGAGACACAGAGGGAGAUAUGAAGAGAAGAAAAAGUAUAUUUACUUUGGUAAAGGAUGUAGCCAUUGUUUUUAGUCUUGCUAGUGGUGUUGUUCUAAGAAUGGCAAUGUCAGACUGUUGGUUAGUUAGUCCACCACAUCCAGACUGAAAUAUCUCAACAGGUAUUGAUGGGAGGCCAUGAAAUUUUGAUGAAUCCUACUGAGUUUUUGGUGACUCAUUAUCUUUUUCUGUAAUGCUGCCAUACACUUGACAUUUGAAUUUUUUUUUAUAACAUAUAGACAGAAGAUUCAAGAUUCAAUACUUUAUUGCCAUACAACUCAGUGCAAGUUGCUAGGGAUUUGCUUCAGUGUGCUCAAGACAUCAACAAAGUCAGAAAAAAAGGACACUGAACAUGUAAAUACAUAUACAACACAAGGGCCCCAAAACAUAUAAGUAGAUAUACGGUAUCCCACACAGGAUCACACUUGACGCAGGCAGAUAAAAAGGCAUACUGUUCACAGCAUACCUGGAUGACAGUCCAGAAGGCUAGAGUGACAGAUGUCAAGUUAAAGUGACAUGGUGCAUAGGGAUGUAGAGUGCAACCACGACUUUACAAUAAAUAAAUCAAUAAAACUAGUAUGGGUAGCAUAAACCCAUAUAGAGAAGUAUUAUAAAAACAAUGUAAAAGAUAUACAAUUUAUACAUGCUCGUUGGGAGAACCUAUUUUCCUAAGGUACUGGUUCAAGGAUGAAGAGCUGUUUAGAUAUUUAAUAGCUCUACAGUAUGUGCUGUUGAGAAAGCGGGAGGUUUUUGUCUUAAUAGCCCUCAGCCUUCUCCCUGAUGGGAGGAUGUUGAAGAGGGAAUUGGAAGUCGGAGGUCAGAACGGACUGGUAUGACAAUUGUUACACAUAUCACUGGUGCCAAAGGUCCGAAUGCCUGUGCAAAAAAACCCAAACAAAAACAAAAGAAGUAUGCACUCACACUACAGCCAUCCAGGAGGAUGGGAUCUGUGGGUAGACAGGCAGGCACUGUGCCUCACCCCGAUGCCCAGAAAAGUAGAUCCCUGCCACACCAGAAACCUUGUUCCCUUCAAACUGAAGCAGUGUGUUCUCCUUAGGGUGGUUUGCAGCCCAGUGCCAUGCCUGCCCCGCUAUCAGCACUCCUCCUCCAGCUUUCAGAAAUGCCACCAGGUCCUUUGGGUCUGCACCCACGCUGUAGGCAUCAGUCACAUACACACCGACCUCCAGAUCAUUACUAAAGGCACCCACAACUUUGGCUUGGAAGCUGGAUCUGCUGAGGUUAUCAGCCACUGCCUUCAUGUUUUUGUGGACCCCCACAGACAAGUUGUCAGACCCAUCCCCUCUCAGCCAGGUCAGAGCGUUCUCUACCAGAGCAGGAAAGGCAGUCAGGUAGCCUUCAUGACCCAGGACAACAAUCCUUCCA